AAAGCUUUUGGGAAAGAAAUUCAAUUACAAAGCUACCAAGGUCCCAACGAGGCCCCAUAGUUCUAUUUGGACCAUUAGUGGAGGUUGGAGUCGAGUAAAGAUUCAACAAAUACCGUAAGGAAUUUGGCUGCAACGAAAAUGGAUUCUUGCUGCAGCUUGAAACUCUCAGGUGGUGGUGCAGUUCUGUCACUUUGAUAGCGAUUUUGACCACCUUCCAAUUAUAACUGGGCAAAGUGGUAAACAUUAAAGUCGUAUCCCUGCCUCUUAGCUUUCUA